GUUGUAGACCUAUUUCGACCGGCAUUUGACAAUAGAAAAGUAUUUUUUUUUUUUUUUAGUAUAUCCACCUAGCAUAGGUUUUUCAAAAGAAAAGCAAAUUAAGAGGAAGAGAAACUGGCAUGAAACUGGAGCCAUGCAGCGGCCAUGCUUGAGCGAAGUCGAAGGACUACUGGAAGGAGUCGCGGCAGCAGCAUCCUCCUCCCAUCCUCCCCCUCCCCCGCAAAAGGGCGCGCAGGUCGAAUCCGAGGAAGACGCCAACAUCGCGGUCUGCGCGAAGGAAUGGCUCCAAAUCAUCUGUUCCGAGGACAUCGGGCUGAGCAGGGAGUACCUAGAUGGCGUCGACUUGUCGCGUCCUCCGGGGGUUACCGGAGAUUGUCCCUUCAACUGUCGGGGACGUCGUCUUCUCCAUAUAUUCUCGUGGGAGUUUGCGGCCACGGAGCACAUGCACCGCGAGAAAAUGGAGUUGUUGGUGAAUCACGGACUGAUAUACUGGGACAAGCAGAGAAUGGACAGGCAAUUCCGGGAGGAAAUGCGGGAGGGUAAAAUAGAAGUUUUGGAGAAGAUGGUUGCUGAAUUCAGAGAGCAAGGAAGAAUUUGUUUUGCAAAAAAAUGAAGUUCGAAGUUUUAGAUGUAAUGAUGGAGGAGUAAUUCCGUAUUACAGGAAUAGAUAGAAUGUAAAAACCUAUGAAAGUGAAUUAAAGUCAAAACACCGAGGAGAUUUUUUCGUUGGAAACAAAUAAAAAAAUCAAAAUUCGCGCUCUGGUACACUGUAUUCGUUUGCCGCAGUUCUUUUAUUUUCAUAUUUCUGUAUACCUCAUUGUAUGAAUUUUUAUAUCCAAAGUAUUUGUAUACAUACAAGGAAAUAUACUGGCCUUAGAUAAGGUAACCAA